GUGCUUGUUUCAGCAGCACAUAUACUAAAAUUGGAAUGAUACAGAGAAGAUUAGCAUGGCCCUCAGGCAAGGAUGACACACAAAUUCAUGCAGCAUUCCAUAUUUUU